rnacentral:tRNA from 1 species
AGCAGGGUAGAGCAGUUGGCAUGCUCGCCAGGCCCAUAACCUGGAGGUCGGAGGUUCGAGUCCUCCCCCUGUUA